UACGUAGGGUGCGAGCGUUAAUCGGAAUUACUGGGCGUAAAGCGUGCGUAGGCGGUUGGCAAAGUCAGCUGUGAAAGCCCCGGGCUUAACCUGGGAAUGGCAGUUGAAACUGGUCGACUAGAAUCUGGCAGAGGGGGGUGGAAUUCCACGUGUAGCAGUGAAAUGCGUAGAGAUGUGGAGGAACACCGAUGGCGAAGGCAGCCCCCUGGGCUGAGAUUGACGCUCAGGCACGAAAGCGUGGGGAGCAAACAGG
rnacentral:rRNA from 1 species